GUAAAAAAGGGCAGAGUUGCUGGGAAAGAAGGCAAAGAAAAAGGGCUACUUGGGCUGGAAUCUGAGAGAUUUUUUGGGGAGACAAGACCAUUGAAAAAGGCAGCCAAUUAAAGGGGAAAGAGAUACAGGAGUAUACCGGCAUUGGGGGCUGAUUUAUAUAUAUUUUACACACCAAUUAGAGGGGGGGGAGUGGGAUAUAUAUACAAGAAGUUGCUGGCCAGAAUUUACCAAAAAAAAAGGCUGCAAUUUUUAUACAUACAUUGGCGGCUGAAUUUGGAGGUUCUUGGAAGAAAAUUGGGUGGCUGCUUGUGGAAUUAAUUAGAGAGACUCACAAACAAAAGGUAGUGAUGAAAUCAACAGAAGUCGAGGGAGAAGAGGGCACACUGGAAGCCUGGAAUUGAUAAAUACACGUGCGAAGGCCGAGAGCAAUUUUGGAAUUUAAUCACUUCCCGUCGAUUUUCGGUUAUUUCCUUCCGCUUUUAUGUUUUUAAUCCCAACAUUAUGCUAGGCUAAAUAUUCUCGUGUAUUGGAUGGAUGACAAAAUUAUUUAAUUCUUAGUUUUAAUUUGGGACCUAUGUUUUUAUGUUAAUUCUAGCGUUGUGAUUCCAUUAAUAUGCCUAUUUAUAUUGUUUUAAUCUUUGCACACCAUUAGGACAAUAAGUUGCUUAUUCGUAGUGUUGAAAAACUCACGGUAGGUAGAACGCUAUUAUUGGAACACACGAACAAUAAAUAUUAGGAAUAAUAUUUGCGGCCUAUGUGAUCUUAUGUAAUAAUCCUAAAUGUCAAUGCAUGUUUGCCGUAUGAAUUCGGACUAGGAAUAAGAUCGUCCCAUGGUAACCAUAGGUUUAUUAUAUCUUGGGAAAGAAUAAUAAAUAAAAGUGGAAUUAGCAUGAAUUAACAUAAUUAUUAUUGGUUGAGAAUUAGAACUAAGAAUUGAUCAAUGGCGUCGGAAAUCCAAUACGUUUACACACUUGAUUUUUUUUUUUUAAAAAACCAAUUCUCAUUGAUUUCAUAAGUUUUAAUUAUAAAAAAAUUAGUUAGUUAUUCAUCAAUCAUCUUUCGGUUAUAAACACGAAUUUAAAUAUAUCAAAUAUACUAGAAUUAAUCCUUAUUCCCUGUGGGACGAUAACUCUCUGAUCACGAUUAUUACUUGUACAACGAACCCGUAUGCUUGUGGGAUUUUGACAAAUAGAAACUAUGAAUGAACGGCUGAGUAUAUAUGUAGGUAGAGUGGAUGGAAUACAAAUAAGAGUGAACAACACUUGGGACUGAAUGCGUAGCAUGGGGGGCGAAGUCAAAGCACGGAGUAGCAUGAUGAGAGCCAUGCAAGCAGAGCAAGUCCAGUAGUCGGAUCUACUGAGGCAGAUCUUGGCUCAUUUCCCACAUCCACCUGGCAAUGACACCGCAGGACCCAGCUAUCAGGUACCACCACCAUAGUAAUCAGGGGAGUUCUAUUUAACUCAUUUUGCUUUUUUUAAUUUGCACUUGUCCUUCAAAUUAUGCCUUUUGAAACUUUUAUUUUUCACAUUGAGGGUAAUGUACUAUAUAAGUUUGGGGGGUGGUGGCAUAUUUUGAAGGUGGCAGAUUUUGGAAACUAAAUUAUCGGCUUGUAAUGUAAUCCUUUUGAAACAAUCACAGUCCAUAAAUACCUUGUUACUGAUUGCAUAUUGUGUGCUUGAUGAGUUAUUAUUGGAUCAAAUUGUUGUAUUAAGUUCAAUGCAUGCCUAUGUGGGUUUGAUAGUCUUGCCCUCAAUGAUGUGAUUAUUGGAAUUGGUAUGUGUUAGAAACUAUGAAUAUAAUGCAGAAUUUGAUUACUGAUACUUGUUGAGGUAGUACUUGACAUUCCAUAUGCACGCCACUCAUGCCGUACAUGUUAGGUGAGUGACUGGGCUUGAAUAAAGCAGGAGAAACCAGAAAACCUCGAUUAGAUUAAACCAUAAAUGAAUGUAAACCCAUAAACCAUUAAUGAAUAGUUUGGAGACGGUUUACCAAUUAUAUGGGAACAUUGAGAUCAGUAGGGGUUCUGUGCAUAAAUUAUGCUGUGUGGAUUGCCUAGACAAGUGAGAUGAAAACUAAGAGAAAGUCUUAAAGUGGAGGUUAAUUCCAAAGACCAAAUGUCUAGAAAAAUAAUAAAGGGGUAUAAAUCUAGGUUAUGAAAAUAUGACACCUUUUCAAGCCUUUAUGAAUCGAGCAAGUAAACUUUUAAGGAUAUCUCGAAAUCUGGUGCCCUAAAGCCAACUGAUUUGGGAAUCACCGACUCAAAACUCGUUACAAAGGUCAUAUAGAAAGCAAGAGGGAAAGAGUUUAAUAAAAAAUAUAUGAUCGAGCCUUUAUGACUCGAGUGAAUAAGCCUGUAAGGGUUUGAAACCUAGUACCCUAAAGCCAACUGGUUUGGGAGACAUCGGCCUAAAACUCGCUACAGGAGUUAUAUAAAAGGAAAAUGAAAAGAUGACAUAAAAAAAUAAUAAUAUUAUUAAUAAUGCAGAAUAUGAUGGUAUGAAUAAAGCCCUUUUACAUUCAGUUGAUAAAAAUCACACCUUCAAGGUGAGACAAGUAACUUAGUUUAAUCUCGAGCGUUGAAGCAAUCAAAUAUAGGAGAGCCUUCACUUGUUGACAUGGAAACCUGUGAUGGUGAGGACUACAGUCACCUAUACCUUUAACUUUAAAACACAACCCCGGGAUAAGUGAGUGAAAAGAAUAAGUUUGGGGGGUUGUGUAUCUCUCGAGCGAAGUAAGGAUAUAUUUGACCAUUUUGGGGUCGGGAUUUAACUAAUCAAGAGUUUGAUAUGUUGGCAUGACUUCACACACACAUGUCGAGUAUGUAUUCAACAAGUAAAGGUUGAUUUUAUUCAUGCAUCAAUCAAUUUUCUUAAAGCAAGAGACUUAGUCCAAUCCUGAGACAUGACAGGUUAUUGAGCCAUGUGUGUUUUUUAGUUAAGUCACUAUUUUGUUUGAGGACAAACAACAGUUCAAAUUUGGGGGAUUUGAUAAGUACAUUUUUUUGCACUUAUUUAAUGUACUAACAUGACUAAAUCACAAGAUAAAUAUUUAGAUUGUGGCUUAAAUUCAUUCAAUUGUUGGAUUGUAGGGUAUAGUGAUGGACAUGAUGGAAUUCACGAGAAAAAGAAGCAAAAAGGACCAAAACAAAAACAAAAUGAAAGUUUAGGGACCAACAUUCAAAUAUCCAAAAGAUGAACCAAAGGAGAAAUCAAAGAUUCGAUCGAGCCAAGUACCAAUUGGAGGUUAACAUUGAUAGAGAGAAUGAAAUGAAGGAAGAAACGAGGCCAAAAAUGUGGAAAAUAAAGUUUAAGGACCAAAAUCAACGUUCGAAAAAAGGGAACCUAUGCGGUCGCAUAGAUUAUACCUAUGUGAUCGCAUAGGAACCUCCCUAACAUUAAAGGUCCAAUUUUUGUUAGCCUAUACGAUCGCAUGCAUAGGCAUAAAUCUGGGACCGAUCUGCAGUUUCCUUUUCGCGAUGAAAUUCUUAUGGAACCCUAAUCUAAACACGAUAUAAAUACUAGAAGCCAUCCAGAACGAAGGAAGAAUGCAUUGGGAGGCAAAAAAACACAUCUUGGAGAGGAUGUAGAGCCAAAGUAACAAGGAUUUACAUGAAGAUCAUCAAGAUUUCAAGCAAAUUCAUAAAAUGGUGAUGUUUUUUCUUCAAUUUAACAUGUAUUCUGUAAUUUUCUUCAUGAUAGACUAAGUUUUCAUGUACUAGGAGAUCGAUGUACCAUAUGAUGUGAUUUCUUUAAUUUCUAGUUUUCAAUUUGACAAUAAACACGUAUUGAAUGUUUGAAUGAUUUAUAUACAAUAAUUC
rnacentral:lncRNA from 1 species